AAAAUUAAUUAAAAGCUCCUGUUGACUGCUUCCCACUCUGAAAAGAAGGUGGAGAAUCUUAUUCUCUUAACUUUAAUGAUUGUUUAUUUAUCUUUUAUGGGGUUUUAUAUCAUAGUCGAGAGAGGUUUUUUCAGCUGCUUGACUCCCUUUUGCCAUCUGCUAUUUUUUGUUCACACACCAUCCCCACGCACCCAGCCCCCCCGUAGUAUUUAUUCUUAUUUUGUCAGAUCCCCGUCUAACUCGUCAAGUCUCUGAGCGGCUCCUUUGUAUUCCGAAUCUCGAUCCGAUUCCCUUAACCUCUCCCCCACCCACUCACCGCCAGCCCCGCUCCGGAGGCUGCUGAUGGGGAUCUGAUGGAUCCUCCUGCCGGGCGCAGCUCCCGACUCUCCCCGUAGAUUCCUUAACAAUCGGCAGCACCGAACUAAGCCGACUACCUCUCCCAAGCAAGGCUCACCUCUAAAGGUCCCGUUUCCCCGAGCCACCUCCCAGACAGAACCGCUGGUGGUGCUCACAGGGGCGCUGUGCCGGUGCCCCUGCCGCAGGGGUAGUCCUCGGCUCUCCCCUCCCCACGGGGUGGGGGCCAGGCUCAGCACCCUCCCUGCUCGGCGGUGAAACACGACCGGGGGGACCCGGGACCUCGCUGCAGCUGCCAGCUCCGAGUCCCGCUCCUGAGCCACACGCUGGCGCAAAACACCCGGGGACCCUGCUAGCACUUGCCGCCGGCCAUUCAUAAAUCCUGCGUGUGUGUGUGCCCGGCGCCGCGGACAUGGGGCUCUAACGUGGCGAAGGCGGUAUUUCUGACACAGCCUGAUCCCGGCUCCGCAACUUUGCCAUCUGGGAGCAGGCAAAGGGCACCGCGGCUUUAGAUUGCCCGGGGCUAGAAUUACCAGAAAGGAAAAGAGUAAGAAAUGAAAUCCCAACUGUACCUGACGGUGUCUGGGAAUCCCUCGCCGGCACCGAUCGUAAUCCCCCUUCGCGCCUCUGGCCCCCCACACCAAAACUUUGCCGCCGCCGCUCCUCGGUGGUGGCCGCCGCCGCCCUCCUCCCGGCGCCGCUCCCGGCCGGCCCCGCGGGCCCGUUCCCCGCCGGCCGCCGCCGCUCCGAGCGAACCCCGCGCCUCCCGCGCCUUCCUCCGCCCUUACGAGGCGGCGGCAUCGUCCUACCCCCUGCUCCGCCACCUCCUCCUCCGGCGCGCAGCCCACGGCUCUGGCAUUCCCAACGCACUUUCUCUCCUCGAUUCGCUCUCUCUUUCCCCCGCCGUUCCUCCUUCUCCGGUAAAAAAUAAACGAGAGGGAACCGCGGCUACCCUUGAUCUUGGGGUUUCUUUCCGGAUUUUUUGGUUGUUUGCCCCUUUUUUUUUUUUUUUUUUUUUUUUUGUCUCUUUCUGUCCUCUGGAAAUGAUGAAAAGAUCACAUGAGGAGCAGGCACGGCGACCCAGGACCUUCGUAAGUCGGAGAAGGCAUCGGACACAUGGAUUUUCCUCUCACUGUUAGUACAGUACUGUUUAAUGCCAGUUCAAGCCGUUGCUGAAAUUAGGAUCAAUUAAUUGAACCUCAUAUGAACCUCAUCCUCUCAGAACUUCAAAACUCCCAAGGAUGAAGACUGUACUCUUGGCAAUCUAUUUAGUCUUGACUUCUUUCUCUGGGAGGAAGUUUUUCCCCACGUUAUGAGAAGGCGAGGUGUUCAAGUAAAGCCUAUGGUGACUGGAAAAAAGAGAACCCUCACUCUAAUUUUUAAAAAAUGUAAAAAGGAAGACCCCGGAACUACAAAAUGGUGAGCCUCACCUCUAUGCCUGGAGGCUGGUGAUGAGUUGUGUCCUUCAGGGCUCAUCUUGGGCCCAGUGCUCUGUAAUAUCUUUGUGAAUGACAGUGUCAUUGAGAGAUUGAGAGCACCCUCAGCAAGUUUGCAGAUGACAAGAAGAUGAGUGGUGGGGGCAACAGAACAAAAGGAUGAAAAGUUAUCCACAGGGACCUGGAAAAACUUAAUAGGUGGGCCCACAAGAACAUAUUGGGGUUCAACAAGUUCAUGUAUAGGGUGCUGCACCUAGGUUGGGAUGAUCCCAGACAUGACCACAGGGAGAUGAAGAACAGCCUGAAAAGAAAAAGUUGGGGUUUCUGGUGGACAUGGUGUGCAGGUGUGCUACAGCCCCAAAAGGCAACCAUAUCCUGGGCUACUUCAAAAGAAGAGUGGCUAGAAGGUUGAAGGAGGUGAUUCUUCUCCUCUACUCUGCUCUCAUGAGAUCCCACCUGCAGUGCUGCAUCCAUUUUUGGACCUGUUGGAGCAGGUCCAGAGGAGUGCCACUAAACUGGUCAGAAAGGUUGAGCAUCCCUCCUAUGAAGACCAGCUGAGACAGCUGGAGUAGAUUUCCCUGGAGAAAAGGAGUCUGUGGGGAGAACAUGAUGUGGCCUUUAGGUACUUAAAGGGGGCUCAUAAAAUAGAGGGGAAAGUGAUAGGACAAGGGGAAAGGGUAUUAAAGAAAAAGAGGACAGAUUUAAGUUAGAUGUUUAGAAGAAAUUCUUUACUGUGACAGUGGUGAGGUACAGGAGAAAGCUGUGUUGAGAAGCUGUAGAUGCCCCAUACCUGGCAGUGCUCAAGGCCAGAUUGGAUGGGCCCUGUACAAUCUGAUAUAGUGGGUGGCAAACCUGCUCACAGCAGGACUUGGAACUAGGUGAUAUUCAGGGUCUCUUGGUCUUGCAAACCAAGGCAUUCUAUGAUUUGAUUAUUCUAUGAUGCUCUUUCUCAAUGUCUUUACAGGAUGCAGUUGACUAAAACUGGACAAAGUAGCUUUAUAGCAUUCUAAAGAGUGGCAUGUAAAUGGGAAUAAGCAAUUGGUUUCUUGAAUGUGCUCUCCUCCUGUUCCUACAGCUCAGAAGGCAGUUAAGACAUUUCUGUUGCAGAUACACACUGAUGGCUCAUGUUCAGCUUGCUAACCACUGCAAACUCCAGGAAUUUUCCAGCAGAACUGCCUGGAACCAAUCCAUCCCAGUCUGCAACACUGCAAAAGGCUCUGCUUCCCAUGUACAGGACUUCACAUUUGUCUUUGCUGAAUUUGAUAAGGCUACAGUUCACCCCAUUCCUUCAGCAAGUCCAGGCCCCUCCACCCUCCACUGUACUGACUGUUCCUCCCCUCCUGGUUGUCACCUGCAAACCUGAAGAAAGAGCACUUCAUCUCCUCCUUCAGCUUAUUGUUAGAGACACUAAACAAGACAGGUGCGUAAUGCAACAUUAGUGUUUCACGAAUUCAAGUAGUUCGUUCUGUCUUUCUGGUUCUGACACUCACUAGUCUCCCUUCUAACUGUUCUUAACUCUGACCAGCUAAAACAAGGGUAAAUUGAUGGCCUCUACACCAGAAAAUGUCUUUUACUUCACUGAAAAUGUUGUCUGAAUGAAAACCAAAAGAUUGUGUCAUUCAUCAUACUGGGCAUUCUUUCAACGAAGGGAUUUCAAGAAAAUCUCUUGUUCAGCAAAUGUGUAAAAGAGAGUCUUUUGAUUUUCAUAGCUGUACAGUGCAGUACUAUGAGGGUAACCUUGGUGUAUAAUUAUCAUUUCUAAGAAUGAAUUCAAAUAAAAGAUCUUUGUGAUGAAAUAUGUUCUCUAAA
rnacentral:lncRNA from 1 species